CAAAACUCCAGAAUGAAGGACACAAAGUUCUAGGCUGCCAUGAGGUGAAAAGACCUCCUCUGUCGUGUGUGCCACAGGCUCAAAGCAAGGGGGAUCAAAUGACCAUCAAAUGACUGACAUCUCUGAAACUGUUAACACCUAACUGGUACUCAUUCUAGAAGAGUACUGUCUGGAUGUACAGGAGAAAACUGACUCAUUACAUAUGAUUGAGGCUUUAGGACAAUUAAGGCUUCAUUCUUUCACCUGUUGAGAAACCCAAGAAAGUGCCUCUGUCUUUGUGAGUUAGCCAACUGGCUGGAGAAGAGAAGCUAUGGAAAGGAAGCAUCAAAGACAGGGUUGUUAUCCCUGUUCGGCAAAUGAAGAGGCCGUGGAGGAAAUGCAUUCUCCGUUUGCGCAGAUGGGUGAAGGCAGCGAACUGUAAGCUCUCCCCAUUGUUUGUGCAUGGCGGGGCAGGGUGGUGACACUUGCCUCAUAGGACUUGACAUGGUAGUUGUAACUGACUUUGCUUCUCAGCUGGCAGUUGCCAAAGUCAGACAGCACUGCAUGUCAUAUUCGGGAAGACAAAUGCUCUAUAAAUAAAUUGACUUGGAAUAGUCUCAAAUACGCAUAAACCACAAUGUCUUUAAAUGUAACUCUUGACUUUUCUCU